UUAAUUGAAACCAAAGAGAGGUUUAUCACUGUUAAUGAUAAUAUUGAGUAAAACUCCAAUUAAA
rnacentral:tRNA from 1 species